UUUGCUUCCAUAAACCUGUAAGGUCUACAAAAAGACUCAGCCAAUUUCGGCUAGCUAUUUUGGCAUCCAAAGGGUUAAUGGCAUUAUUGCUUCAAAAGAGCCUAUUGGCUCCCCCUCAAGGAUGCCCUGCAAUUGUUGUUCGAGCCAUCAGAUGAAGCUAGCCUUCUCAGCUAGCCUUUAGAUUUGUCUGUUAACAGUAAAAAACGCUAUAAUAAAUCGGUAACAUAUGUUGCCAGGCAGGGAAAAGUGAUACAAAUAGAGAGCCUGGGAGACCCAAGCCAAGUACAAAGUGAAAGAAUUCAAAUUUCAAUCUAUUCCCGGCUUAAUUACCAUUUGAAAAGUAAUUUGAAAGUGUUGUUACUUGCUUAUACUCUUCCUCAUUUUUCUUUUUUUUUUUUCCUCUUCAGAUUGCUUUCUUACCCAAAUUAUCUCCGUGAUUGCCUGCCUUGCGGCUUUGGGGAGAUACACAUGGAAGAGAUAUUAAAGCAUGACCAGGUUGAAAACAAACGACCGAAGGUUGCACUUUGCCAAAUGCAGCAUCAGAUCUGCCUAAAUAAAACUUCUUCCGGUGUACAGAAAUAAACGCUCUAGAAAAAGCCCA